CGCUGAGUUUGGAAUGGGAGCAUGUCUGUGGGUCCUGGCCCCCUGGGCACUCCUCACAUGCUCACCGUGCCAGGCCCUGGACUUGCAGGGAGAAGCCAGACAGCGGUGCCCCUCCUAGAAUUGCCCAGGAGCAGCACAAGGGAGGCCUUCUGCCAGGGGGCUCUCGGAAAGCCCAGAGCUGUAUCUCCAAAAGUCAAAGGAGCCCACCAUGAGUUCCUCCCAAGCCUUGGUUUCCUCAGCUGCACCGCGAGGGGCUGAGCUAAAGGCCUGUGCCAGGUGGUGCCGGAGCAGACCCUGCAUGAGCAAACGGGAGAGUGCCUUCCCGUAACGCUGUGUUUAUGCACACUGGAAUUUGAAUAGCACAUAAUUUUCACGUGUCAAGAAAUAUUAUCUUUCUUCUUUUCAUUUUUCUUUAACUGUUUAAAAAUGUAGAAACCACUCUUAGCUCUCAGAUGGUCCAGGUGCAGUUGGCAGGCAGGGUCUGGCUUGAGCGCCGUAAUUGACCGGAAGGUGCGUGAACUUGCCCAGCCCUCUCCCACCCUCCAACCUUUCGUCGUUGCUUCACUGCUCAAAUCUCACACAGCCACCAAGCCCAGUGUAAAUGCCACCUCCUCCAGCAAGCCAUUUUUACCCUUGGUCCAAGUUAGAAUCUCCCACCAAAGAACUGUACCCUGUAUAGCACUUACCACUUACUGAUGUGCAUAUGUGUGUAUGCGUGUGCGUGUGUGUGUAUGCGUAUGCAUGUGUGUGUGU